rnacentral:rRNA from 1 species
UACGUAGGGGGCAAGCGUUGUUCGGAAUUACUGGGCGUAAAGGGCGCGUAGGCGGCUCGGCAAGUCGGGAGUGAAAGCCCGGGGCUCAACCCCGGAACGGCUCUCGAAACUGCCGGGCUCGAGUGCGGAAGAGGCAACCGGAAUUCCCAGUGUAGCGGUGAAAUGCGUAGAUAUUGGGAAGAACACCUGAGGCGAAGGCGGUUCUCUGGGACGGUACUGACGCUGAGACGCGAAAGCGUGGGGAGCGAACAGG